AGCGAACGCUGGCGGCAGGCCUAACACAUGCAAUUCGAACGAACCCUUCGGGGUUAGUGGCGGACGGGUGAGUAACACGUGGGAACGUGCCUUUAGGUUCGGAACAACUCAGGGAAACUUGUGCUAAUACCGAAUGUGCCCUUCGGGGGAAAGAUUUAUCGCCUUUAGAGCGGCCCGCGUCUGAUUAGCUAGUUGGUGAGGUAAUGGCUCACCAAGGCUACGAUCAGUAGCUGGUCUGAGAGGAUGACCAGCAACAUUGGGACUGAGACACGGCCCAAACUCCUACGGGAGGCAGCAGUGGGGAAUCUUGCGCAAUGGGCGAAAGCCUGACGCAGCCAUGCCGCGUGGAUGAUGAAGGUCUUAGGAUUGUAAAAUCCUUUCACCGGUGAAGAUAAUGACUGUAGCCGGAGAAGAAGCCCCGGCUAACUUCGUGCCAGCCGCCGCGGUAAAAC
rnacentral:rRNA from 1 species